rnacentral:lncRNA from 1 species
GUCAACGGGUCCAAACUAAAAAUAUGUCGCAGGACGGACUGUCUAAGAUGUCCAGGACCGGUGUUUGUACAGGAGGAUACCUCGCACCGGCUCCACAAAGUGGUGCUCACUGAAGGAUGCAGGAGAGCGCCACACAGGCGACACAGACAGACGCACGGGAGGCUGAGCUCUUCAUCAUGGCUGUCUGCUUAAAAGGUUGCUGUCUGCUAUCCAGCUAUGGCUGGGAUACAGAUUGA